rnacentral:lncRNA from 1 species
UCAAUUGAGUGUUUGGCCACCUCAUUUUUAAAAUAGGGUAAAUUUCAAAUACUACCCCUGUAGUUUCACACUUUCUCACUUUAAUACCCUAUGAUUUAAAGUGUAUCAAGUUAGUGUCCUGUGGUUUUAUUUUUAUCUUUUCGUCAGCUUUUUCGUUAAUAUUUCGUUAAAUUAUAUACAAAAAAAACUUCAGAUACCCUGCCUAGGUUUAUUGAAUAUUCAUUUUAGUACUCUUUAGUUUUAACUUUGCCACUGAUUUAACGAAAAAAUUAGUAAAAUCAAUAAUAAAAAGAUAAAAAUAAAACCAGUGGGCACUAAAUUGAUACAAUUUAAACCACAGGGUAUUAAAGUGAGAAAGCGUGAAACCACAGGGAUGGUAUUUGAAGUUUUCCCUUUAAAAUAAUAUAAUUCUAAAUUUUUUCAAUUUUUAUUUUUAUUUUUAUAUUUUAUAUUUGAAAUGCCUCAAAUUUGAAAUAACUCAAAAUUAAAAGUUUCAUAAC